AACUGAUACUACCUGCGGGAACCUGCGGAAGGAUCAUUAUUGGAAAAAAACUUAUCUAAGUUGCAGGAGGGGGGAAAAUUUCUCCCUUCUGCUUCUUCAACCAAACGAUCACAACUAUACUGGGAAAUUUGGAAAUUUGGAUUGGAUGAUUUGGUGAUGGUGGGGGGGAACUUAUCAAAAGUAUUUGCCUGAUACAAUGUACACAAUGCCAUUGAUGAUUUGAUGGUUGGGAAAAAGUAU
rnacentral:misc_RNA from 1 species